rnacentral:lncRNA from 1 species
AAAUCCGUAUCUGCUUUACUAUGAUUGAAUCUUAAGGGUUUAGUUCCAAAGCAGUGCAUAUGGUCUUAUACAAAAUUUAGCUCCCUUCAAUCCAAAUCAAGAACAUAUUGGUGAAGUGAGUGAGGUGCGAACAUAAAACUUACUACUGUGUUAAUCUAUUUAUCUUAUGGAAAUAGCUGAUAAAAAACUAUAUUUAUAUGGCAGGUUCCAAAUUGUUCUCAAGCCAUAUACCAUAAUGUUGUUACCUUCUUUGAACCUUUACAUGUAUAACUCAUUAUUGUUGUCAAUGUGAUUAUAAUUUUAUAUAAAAUCACCAACUAUUUUGUCCUUGUUUUCUUUAUGUAGGCACAACACCAUAUGGAUAAUCAUCCAUCAUCAUGAAGAUAUGAUUGCCAAAUACUUGGUCUGAAUGAUCUUGCAUCAUAAAAAAGCCGUGAAGAAACCACUUCUUUGAGACAUGAGAGUCUUAUUUUCUACUUUCGAUUGCAUAAAUGUUGAUGUCGUCAAAAGAAGAGAUUACUUUUGUAACUAUUUAUCUUUAAGUUGUUGGCAUAGAAGUCAUUUUUAUCAUGAUGAUUGUUUUUAGGUUUUUAUCAGAUUGUUACUGUAUAGGUGGUCUUGAAACCUGUUCAGAUUUGGGUGUUCAAAUUUGCUCCUCUUGGCAAUAGCUUUGCAAUGUCACUUUUAAUGUGUUAUGUAAAGAACAGGGUGAAGAAAUAUGAAUAUUGCUG